CUUUUUUUAUAAAUAUUUUAAAAUAUAAAAGUAUUUCAAAUAUAUGGAGAUACAGAAAAUACUAUGGUGAACAGUCAAUAAAUAACCAUCUAGAUGUAACAAUUCCAAAUAUUUAGCAAUAUUUGCUUGAGAUCUUUUAAAAAUAGGUAUCACCAUGGGAAGCUUCCUUGUGCCUUCCCAUUCAAGUCUUCCUCCCUUCUCACUAUCUUGAUCCUAUGCUUCCUGCUUGUUUCCAUGCUUCUUGGGAUUUGCUGCAUAUUUACUGCAGAUAUAAAGAGCCUAUCAUAUUGUUCUACAGGCAUUCAAGCUGCACAUAAAUGGUAUCAGUUCCCUUAAUUCUUCAGAUUACAUCGUGAGGAUAAUCUUCCUUUGGCCAAGUCUUGAAUGCAUUUUUCUGGAGUUUCUUUUAUCAAACUAAGUGUUGCUAGCUUUCCAUUUACAGUAGUGAUUUAUGUUUUCUUUUAAGUUAGAUUAUGGAAAAAGAAAAGUGUUGAUUUAAAGAAAAAUGUUAAGUAGUAAUCUUAUAGGCAGUACACAGAAAUAGCCAAAAAUUAGAAAGUUUGUACUGGAAUAGCUGAAACUUGACUUUAAAGGAAGAAGCACUCAGACCCCCUACCCGAUCUGACCUCUGCUUCCUAUCCCAGGCCUAAGAGUCACCAUCAUUACUUCACCUCCACCUGUACAAACUGCUUGGUUUCCUCCUUCUCACUUUCUCACUAGCUGGAGGUGCAUUUGCAAUGCUAAAGCCUUUCCUUUAUGAUACUUUGUGUAGCCAGCACCCCUGCCUUCACAGGCUCUCUCAUGGUCUUCUCAGGCUGAGAAAGCCUGUGUCUUCUCAGUACCUAGCUUGGCAGGCAAGCGUACAUACUUCUCUAGUCUUAUUCUAAAUUUAGUGCCAGUAUCAUGACAUCUUCAUGGCCAGAACAGGGUACCAAAGUCAUGGAAAGAACCCAUCUUUUUGUGAUGUUUCAGAUAAAAGUCCAGGGUACAAAAGGAAGGUUCUCAGUGGAAAAGAAGUUCAUAUUUACACGCUUUAAAUCUUAAAAAUAAUUGUUUUGGGUUUCAAUACCUGAAAUUAUUUUCUUUUACAUUGAGGCAAUAUGUUAAUCGGUUGGCUAGAUGAAGGGUAAACAAAGGAGGAUACGGGAGGGGUGAAAAUGAUGAUGGCAAAUGCUAAUUUUUCCAACACCGCGGCUUACUGCAGAGUACUUACAACACUGAGCUGGGUGAUUUCAUUAGAAAAUGAAAAGUCAAAUACAACAUUUUAAGUGUAACACGUUUGAACGUUUGACAUAUGACAUUUAAAGCCCAAAGUUCCCAAACCGUUGCUGCUGUUGAGAUGCUAGGGCAAUUUUCAAGCUUUGUGAGGCAUGACCCACAAAGCAUAUGAAUAAAUACAACAGUAUUAACAAACAGCACAGAAAACACCGAAUGCCCCUUUGAAAGUCCUCUAAGGUCUGCAGUGGUGAAGAACUAACUGCAUUGACUUCCAUUCAUUCAUUCAAAAGCCUUAUUCUGAAGCUCAAAUCCACAGAACAUGGUUAAAAGCUCCUCAGCGCACUUGGCCAGCAGUAGAUUCACCUCUUAAGAGAGGUGCAAAGAAGGCUUUCAGGGCUACAGCUGUUUUGAGGGGAAAUAGUUCAGUUUUAGCGCUUUCUGCUAGAGCACUUCGCAUGGCCAAGGCUGAGAGGAAAGGCUGAGCGGGGGAGGUUGAGGGAAGUGACUUCACACUCUUGAUUACAGAAUGUCAUGUUUACCUCGGUGAAGCAUCCAGCCUUUAAAUGAGAAAGCGAAUCCAGUGAAAUCACUCUCCCGUGUCCGCCUUCCACACUAAGUCUUAUCUGCCAGCCAAACUUUCUGCAUCAAUCUGGAUAGGUCAGCGCCGAAAGGCCAGGUCCUGAGGUGGCGCGCUUUGCCUUACCCGGCGUCAGCCUUGGAGUUACCUGAAGCAUUUCAGCUACUGCCCCCAGAGAACAAGCUUCUAGUUUCAAUUCGAUUUCCUUGGGGAAUUGCGGCUCAAGCAAGUCCUGGGUGUGGCGAUGUCAAAGUCGAGCUAGGAUCUCUUAGCUCUCCCGCUUCUGGCAAACGUUCCCAGACCCGAAGCGUGACGGGUGUCCAGAGCCCGCCGUCCAGGAUCCCCCAGGCUGCCAAGGACCCGACCCUUCGGGCCGCUGCACCGCGCGGAAACGCCAGGCUGCGCGCACUGUGCCUGUGCGCUUCUCCCCCACUCGCUCUGCGCUCGGAGGCGGAUCCCCUUCCCAGCACACAAGUCCUUAUAUGCACCGGUUGCACCAGCCCGCCUUAUUCCAGCCGCACAAAUAAUUAAUGUGGGAGGGAGGGUGCCACUGAUAUUUUCCCCCCUUCUGGCUUUUUUCUCCAGCACUGGAGCUUUU
ensembl:lncRNA